GGGUCAGUAGGCUGGUCGUGCCACCGGUACGUACUGGUCUCACUGACUCCUCCUCCCUGAAGAACCGUAAUGCCAUUAAUUUGGUGUUGCGGGGAAACAGGACUGUUACUUUGAAAAAAUUAGAGUGUUUAAAGCAAGCUAAUGCUUGAAUACAUUAGCAUGGAAUAAUGAAAUAGGACGAUCGAUCCUAUUUUGUUGGUUUCUAGGAUUGACGUA
rnacentral:rRNA from 1 species